rnacentral:rRNA from 1 species
CAAUAGCGUAUAUUAAAGUUGUUGCGGUAAAAAAGCUCGUAGUUGGAUUUCUACCGAAGAUAGCCGGUCGGGUCUUCGACCUUGUAUCUGGUUUUGUCUUUGGUAUCCUCAUAGGGAACGUUUAUGCGCUUUAUUGCGUGGUGCGGUAUCUAUGACUUUUACUUUGAGGAAAUUAGAGUGUUCACGGCAGGCAAACGCCUUGAAUAUAUUAGCAUGGAAUAAUAACAUAGGAUCUUCGUCCUAUUUUGUUGGUUUCUAGGGCUAAGAUAAUGAUUAAUAGGGAUAAUUGGGGGCAUCUGUAUCAACGCGUCAGAGGUGGAAUUCUUGGAUUGCGUUGCGACAAACUACUGCGAAAGCAUUUGCCAAGGAUGUUUUCAUUGA